rnacentral:rRNA from 1 species
UUGCAGCACACGGCGGCCUCGGGUCAAUCCCGGGGCCACGUCCGUCUGAGGGUCGGUUGGCUUAAAGCAAUCGCGUACGAAUUUUGGUUGUAGGGCACGUCUCCUCUCGCUCUCUAUGAGACGGGGACUGGCUCGUCAUGUAGCGCAUUGGGCCGUCGCGGAUAGCGCUUGCCGACCUCCUUUCCCGACGAUGACGAUCGAGUGGGUGCUUGCUCUGGCGCCCCUCUUUUGUUGUUGUUGGAUCGUUGGCUGGCUUCGCAUGUCCCCGUGGCCUUAAGUACAGGAUGCGCCGUCAUCCUCCUGUCCAUUCUAUGCUACUAACCCUCGUCUGUGAUCUCUUACCGCAGGGCAGGACCCGGCUCGUUUGUGUAACAACAAUGGGCCAAGCGGACCUAGCCUUGCUCUCUCAAAAGGUGAGGGAUGGGCCGCAUAGCAGCGUUCGAUACGGGCAAUUACGGCGCCCGCCUACAGCCUUCUUCAUUGAAGGUGUGGCGUAUAUUAUAGAAAAUAUUUUUCUAUCUAUAUCCGACCUCAGAUCGGGCGAGAUUACCCGCUGAAUUUAAGCAUAUAAUUAAGCGGAGGAAAAGAAACUAACAAGGAUUUCGUUAGUAACGGCGAGUGAAGCGGAAAUAGCCCAGCACCGAAUCCCCCAGUGUAACGCUGGCGGGAACUGUGGUGUAUGGGACGCCACCAGUUGCAUGCGCGGGGCAUCGAAGUCCUCCUGAUCGGGGCCAUCACCCAGAGUGGGUGUAAGGCCUUUGCAGGUGUCCUGCCGUGCGGCCGCGAGCUUCAGGAGCGGG